UUAAGCGACUAAGCGUACACGGUGGAUGCCCUGGCAGUCAGAGGCGAUGAAGGGCGUGCUAAUCUGCGAUAAGCGCCGGUAAGGUGAUAUGAACCGUUAUAACCGGCGAUACCCGAAUGGGGAAACCCAGUGUGAUUCGUCACACUAUCAUUAACUGAAUCCAUAGGUUAAUGAGGCGAACCGGGGGAACUGAAACAUCUAAGUACCCCGAGGAAAAGAAAUCAACCGAGAUUCCCCCAGUAGCGGCGAGCGAACGGGGAGGAGCCCAGAGCCUGAAUCAGCAUGUGUGUUAGUGGAAGCGUCUGGAAAGGCGCGCGAUACAGGGUGACAGCCCCGUACACAAAAGCGCAUGUGCUGUGAGCUCGAUGAGUAGGGCGGGACACGUGGUAUCCUGUCUGAAUAUGGGGGGACCAUCCUCCAAGGCUAAAUACUCCUGACUGACCGAUAGUGAACCAGUACCGUGAGGGAAAGGCGAAAAGAACCCCGGCGAGGGGAGUGAAAAAGAACCUGAAACCGUGUACGUACAAGCAGUGGGAGCACAGGUUUACCUGUGUGACUGCGUACCUUUUGUAUAAUGGGUCAGCGACUUAUAUUCUGUAGCAAGGUUAACCGAAUAGGGGAGCCGGAGGGAAACCGAGUCUUAAUUGGGCGUUAAGUUGCAGGGUAUAGACCCGAAACCCGGUGAUCUAGCCAUGGGCAGGUUGAAGGUUGGGUAACACUAACUGGAGGACCGAACCGACUAAUGUUGAAAAAUUAGCGGAUGACCUGUGGCUGGGGGUGAAAGGCCAAUCAAACCGGGAGAUAGCUGGUUCUCCCCGAAAGCUAUUUAGGUAGCGCCUCGUGAAUUCAUCUCCGGGGGUAGAGCACUGUUUCGGCUAGGGGGCCAUCCCGGCUUACCAACCCGAUGCAAACUGCGAAUACCGGAGAAUGUUAUCACGGGAGACACACGGCGGGUGCUAACGUCCGUCGUGAAGAGGGAAACAACCCAGACCGCCAGCUAAGGUCCCAAAGUCAUGGUUAAGUGGGAAACGAUGUGGGAAGGCCCAGACAGCCAGGAUGUUGGCUUAGAAGCAGCCAUCAUUUAAAGAAAGCGUAAUAGCUCACUGGUCGAGUCGGCCUGCGCGGAAGAUGUAACGGGGCUAAACCAUGCACCGAAGCUGCGGCAGCGACACUGUGUGUUGUUGGGUAGGGGAGCGUUCUGUAAGCCUGUGAAGGUGGCCUGUGAGGGUUGCUGGAGGUAUCAGAAGUGCGAAUGCUGACAUAAGUAACGAUAAAGCGGGUGAAAAGCCCGCUCGCCGGAAGACCAAGGGUUCCUGUCCAACGUUAAUCGGGGCAGGGUGAGUCGACCCCUAAGGCGAGGCCGAAAGGCGUAGUCGAUGGGAAACGGGUUAAUAUUCCCGUACUUGGUGUUACUGCGAAGGGGGGACGGAGAAGGCUAUGUUGGCCGGGCGACGGUUGUCCCGGUUUAAGCGUGUAGGUGUGUGUUCCAGGUAAAUCCGGUUCACUUUAACACUGAGGCGUGACGACGAGGCACUACGGUGCUGAAGCAACAAAUGCCCUGCUUCCAGGAAAAGCCUCUAAGCAUCAGGUAACAUCAAAUCGUACCCCAAACCGACACAGGUGGUCAGGUAGAGAAUACCAAGGCGCUUGAGAGAACUCGGGUGAAGGAACUAGGCAAAAUGGUGCCGUAACUUCGGGAGAAGGCACGCUGACACGUAGGUGAAGUGAUUUACUCACGGAGCUGAAGUCAGUCGAAGAUACCAGCUGGCUGCAACUGUUUAUUAAAAACACAGCACUGUGCAAACACGAAAGUGGACGUAUACGGUGUGACGCCUGCCCGGUGCCGGAAGGUUAAUUGAUGGGGUCAGCGCAAGCGAAGCUCCUGAUCGAAGCCCCGGUAAACGGCGGCCGUAACUAUAACGGUCCUAAGGUAGCGAAAUUCCUUGUCGGGUAAGUUCCGACCUGCACGAAUGGCGUAAUGAUGGCCAGGCUGUCUCCACCCGAGACUCAGUGAAAUUGAACUCGCUGUGAAGAUGCAGUGUACCCGCGGCAAGACGGAAAGACCCCGUGAACCUUUACUAUAGCUUGACACUGAACAUUGAGCCUUGAUGUGUAGGAUAGGUGGGAGGCUUUGAAGUGUGGACGCCAGUCUGCAUGGAGCCGACCUUGAAAUACCACCCUUUAAUGUUUGAUGUUCUAACGUGGACCCGUAAUCCGGGUUGCGGACAGUGUCUGGUGGGUAGUUUGACUGGGGCGGUCUCCUCCUAAAGAGUAACGGAGGAGCACGAAGGUUGGCUAAUCCUGGUCGGACAUCAGGAGGUUAGUGCAAUGGCAUAAGCCAGCUUGACUGCGAGCGUGACGGCGCGAGCAGGUGCGAAAGCAGGUCAUAGUGAUCCGGUGGUUCUGAAUGGAAGGGCCAUCGCUCAACGGAUAAAAGGUACUCCGGGGAUAACAGGCUGAUACCGCCCAAGAGUUCAUAUCGACGGCGGUGUUUGGCACCUCGAUGUCGGCUCAUCACAUCCUGGGGCUGAAGUAGGUCCCAAGGGUAUGGCUGUUCGCCAUUUAAAGUGGUACGCGAGCUGGGUUUAGAACGUCGUGAGACCAGUUCGGUCCCCUAUCUGCCGUGGGCGCUGGAGAACUGAGGGGGGCUGCUCCUAGUACGAGAGGACCGGAGUGGACGCAUCACUGGUGUUCGGGUUGUCAUGCCAAUGGCACUGCCCGGUAGCUAAAUGCGGAAGAGAUAAGUGCUGAAAGCAUCUAAGCACGAAACUUGCCCCGAGAUGAGUUCUCCCUGAGACUUUAAGUCUCCUGAAGGAACGUUGAAGACGACGACGUUGAUAGGCCGGGUGUGUAAGCGCAGCGAUGCGUUGAGCUAACCGGUACUAAUGAACCGUGAGGCUUAACCUU
rnacentral:rRNA from 1 species